GGGCGGCCCUGCCGUGCGCUGGAAUCAGGCCUCCAGAGCCUGCCCAUCACCCACUCGGCCCGGCUGCCGAACAAAACCCGGUGGGGGAGAACGAAGCCAUCCCUUUGGCGCCAGACUUCCCAAACUGCUCCCGGGCGACUCGGAUUAAAGCCAGAACAAGUAUAAAGUCUUUAGGUGACGUUUUCUUCUUGGCGCAUCCGUGAGGGACACGGGGCCAGAUGCCAGCAAUCUGCUUCGCUGUGUUCCUGCAGGAGUUUCUAACUUGACUAACUCGGUCAGUAACUUUCGUCAGCACACAAGGCGCAGUUUUAGUUUCUGAGUCAUACAGACCCUUUCAGGCUCCGAGCUCGCCUCUGAAGGGGAGGGGCCUGCCCUGGCUGUGUUUGGUCACCCUGGCCAUCUAGCCCCUCCUCUCCUGGUAAUAGAAAUAGGAAAGGCAGAAAUCAGGGUAGGAAAGAUCCAUGAGAAUUCGUUAGAAUAUACAAUUAAACUGAACAAAACGCUGAAGCACCAGAAUAUAAUUCCUGGGAAAAAUAGCAGUUUUUCCUCUUCCAUUUGAGGGGCGCCAGGUACCCAGAGGGAACCGGGCUCUCAGCUCAAGAUCAGACGGGACUGCUUUAAAAACCAGAGAUGUGCUUCUUCAAUGUCACCAUCACAUGUGGGGUGACCACGAAGAAAGAAAUCUUCCUUACUUUGGUUCCAGUAGAUACAAUACCAGGACUUUGCUUUCAAAGAAACCAGACGAAAAAAUUCCCUCACUUGGAAGCCAUUUUUUUCUUCAGUUCAAUGGACGCAUUUGCUCAUUUUUAGAAGACCCUUUUUGGGCUUCUUGUGUUGCAGAUGAAACCUGGGUUUCUGUUACUGGGUAGCCCCCAUCCCGCCCUGAAAGCUUGGCAAACACACCCGAUGGAAGCCUCACUCCGCCCGCGUGUGUCCUGGGGCAGGCGGGCCACACCAGGAGCUACUGUCAUUUCUUGGUUCCAGCUCACUCGACUCAGCCUUUGGAGAAGACAUCUUGAUUUUAUUCCAUCUCGGAGAAGUGAAUUGUAGGCCCUCUUUUCUCUUCCGGAAUCUCUCACCAUCUUGCCGUGAGAAGGUAGCUGAUCUGAAUGCCAGCAUGGGAAGCACAGCCCUAAGUCAGAAAACAUUCAGGUACCCAGGCCGGCUGCCUGUUGCCCAUAGAUGGACUGUUCACACAGCUAUUAACGGCAGCAUUCCUGGGUCCAGGAGCCGGGCCAAUAAGCUUACUUGCUCAGGCUUUGUGACAAGAAAGUCUGAGUAGCCAGGAAGUGGGAUGUUUUCAGGGAAAAGUACUAUAGUCCCUCUAGGUCAAAACCCACCCACCUGGUAUAAAUCAAAUCUUUACAUCAAUAAUGUGUCUGUAGUUAAGAACUGAGUCUACUUUUGUGUAUCCCCAACAACAGGGAUUAACUGUUUCAGGUUUACUUUGAAGAAUAGAUGUUGCUAUCUAUUAAAAUGGAGCGAUGUUCAUGUAAUAAUGUCAAGCAAACAA